GGGGCUGUGGCUCUGUGGUAGAGCACUCACCUAACAAGUGUGAGGCACUGGGUUUGAUCUCCAGCACUACA
rnacentral:tRNA from 1 species